AUCCAGUGGAUGAGUCCAAAAUAGAACGAAAUGCGCGUUCUGGAU
rfam:Schistosoma margrebowiei strain Zambia genome assembly, scaffold: SMRZ_contig0005591